GACGUAGGGCGCGAGCGUUAAUCGGAAUUACUGGGCGUAAAGCGCACGUAGGCGGCUUGGUAUGUCGGGUGUGAAAUCCCCGGGCUCAACCUGGGGAACUGCAUCCGAAACUGCCUUGCUAGAGUAUGGGAGAGGGAAGUGGAAUUUCCGGUGUAGCGGUGAAAUGCGUAGAUAUCGGAAGGAACAUCAGUGGCGAAGGCGACUUCCUGGACCAAUACUGACGCUCAGGUGCGAAAGCGUGGGGAGCAAACAGG
rnacentral:rRNA from 1 species